rnacentral:rRNA from 1 species
AUUGAACGCUGGCGGAAUGCUUUACACAUGCAAGUCGAACGGCAGCACGGACUUCGGUCUGGUGGCGAGUGGCGAACGGGUGAGUAACAUAUCGGAACGUAUCCAAUAAUGGGGGAUAACGAGUCGAAAGAUUCGCUAAUACCGCAUACGCCCUACGGGGGAAAGCAGGGGAUCUUCGGACCUUGCGUUAAUGGAGCGGCUGAUAUCUGAUUAGCUAGUUGGUGAGGUAAAGGCUCACCAAGGCGACGAUCAGUAGCUGGUCUGAGAGGACGACCAGCCGCACUGGAACUGAGACACGGUCCAGACUCCUACGGGAGGCAGCAGUGGGGAAUUUUGGACAAUGGGCGAAAGCCUGAUCCAGCCAUUCCGCGUGCAGGAUGAAGGCCCUCGGGUUGUAAACUGCUUUUGUACAGAACGAAAAGGUUUCUACUAAUACUAGGAGCUCAUGACGGUACUGUAAGAAUAAGCACCGGCUAACUACGUGCCAGCCGCCGCCGUAA